rnacentral:lncRNA from 1 species
UCAUUAACUUGAGUGGUCUUUCUCUCAUCCUUCUUCCCUUUCCUCAACCUAUAAUUCUUAACAUUCAAGUCAAUUAUAGAAGGAACUAGAGUACAAAGAAUGAAGGGAAGAGAUGGGUGGUUUUAUCUGAGAUUGGUUGUUUGAUAUUUGUAGGAAUAGCAUAUCUUCCUAUUUUCUUUCCUAAAUUAACUUCAGAAGGACAUUUUUCAACCUAACAAAUAAUCAGUUUUGCUACUGGAAAUCUGGCAUUGUUUCAAACAUCUACAAAGUAAAACUUGAAAUAUAAAAUGAAUCAGUAAUUUAUUUUAAUAAAACGAAUAGGAAUGCGAUAUAAAAGUAAUAGUUAAAGACUAAAGUUUUAACUCACAACAGGAUGAAAAUAUAGUGGUUCCCGCUUCUUUAUGAAGAAUUUCACACAAGUGGAAAAUUCCAAAUGACGUCUAGGUUGUUCUCUGUAAUCCAUUUUUUAGGAUAGAAGGAAUAAGAUGACUCGAGAUCAAUAUUCCAAACCAUAACUCUCGAGCAGUCGUUCAUUAGGCCCUCCAUUUCACUUUCAUCUUUAACAAUCUGCUCAAUCAAUGUGCUAACCUGCAUAUAGCGAAAAAAUAAAUAAAUUCACAAUUGAUCAAAACAUCAUAUCAGGUUUGAUCAAUCAUCAGUAAGCUACAUUUUUUGUUUCGCUCAACAGGAG